UACGUAGGGUGCAAGCGUUGUCCGGAAUUAUUGGGCGUAAAGAGCUCGUAGGCGGUUCGUCACGUCGGCUGUGAAAACCUGAGGCUCAACCUCAGGCCUGCAGUCGAUACGGGCGGACUCGAGUUCGGCAGGGGAGACUGGAAUUCCUGGUGUAGCGGUGAAAUGCGCAGAUAUCAGGAGGAACACCAAUGGCGAAGGCAGCACUCUGGGACGGUACUGACGCUGAGACGCGAAAGCGUGGGGAGCAAACAGG
rnacentral:rRNA from 1 species